UGGGGAAUAUUGGACAAUGGGCGAAAGCCUGAUCCAGCCAUGCCGCGUGUGUGAAGAAGGCCUUUUGGUUGUAAAGCACUUUAAGCGAGGAGGAGGCUACCGAGAUUAAUACUCUUGGAUAGUGGACGUUACUCGCAGAAUAAGCACCGGCUAACUCUGUGCCAGCAGCCGCGGUAAUACAGAGGGUGCGAGCGUUAAUCGGAUUUACUGGGCGUAAAGCGUGCGUAGGCGGCUUUUUAAGUCGGAUGUGAAAUCCCUGAGCUUAACUUAGGAAUUGCAUUCAAUACUGGGAAGCUAGAGUAUGGGAGAGGAUGGUAGAAUUCCAGGUGUAGCGGUGAAAUGCGUAGAGAUCUGGAGGAAUACCGAUGACGAAGGCAGCCAUCUGGCCUAAUACUGACGCUGAGGUACGAAAGCAUGGGGAGCAAACAGG
rnacentral:rRNA from 1 species